AUUGAACGCUGGCGGCAGGCCUAACACAUGCAAGUCGAGCGAGCGGCGGGCGGGGGCGUAAUGUCUGGGAAACCGCGUGAUGGAGGGGGAUAACUACUGGAAACGGCAGCUAAAACCGCAUACCAUCAGAUGUGCCCAGGUGGGAUUAGCUAGUAGGUGGGGUAACGGCUCACCUAGGCGACGAACCCUAGCUGAUCUGAGAGGAUGAACCGCCACACUGGAACUGAGACACGGUCCAGACUCCUACGGGAGGCAGCAGUGGGGAAUAUUGCACAAUGGACGAAAGCCUGAUGCAGCAAUGCCGCGUGAGUGAAGAAGGCCUUCGGGUUGUAAAGCACUUUCGGCGGGGAGGCGUUACCCGCAGAAGAAGCACCGGCUAACUCCGUGCCAGCAGCCGCGGUAAUAC
rnacentral:rRNA from 1 species